rnacentral:lncRNA from 1 species
AAAGAUACUUUCAGAAGGUUCGGUAGUAUCAACAAUCUUUUCCUCAUUGUUGGUCAUUGGUGGAUCAUCAACAAUAUUCAUUUGAUGUUUAACAAAGUUUGUUUCUGACUCCAUUACUUUGUUCUUUUGAGACUCCUGGAAUAAAUUAGUCAGAUGCCUCGGCGUACGAUAGGUACGCGACCAAUGCCCUUUCAUCCCACACCUAAAACAAACAUCUGGUUUGUUCUUUAUCUGUGUUGCAUUUUCUUUAUUUUUACCCGACUCAGACACUUGCCACUUCUGGUGGCUUAAAUUGUCGCGGUUCUAGAAUUUGUUGUUAUGAUGGCCUCGUUUAUUCUUUCGCCCCCAAGGCUUCUUAUUAUAUGGCCAUCUAUAGUCACGUUUAUUCUGCUGGAAUGACGUGCUAUUAAUAUCCGGCAAUGGGGUAUCACCCGUUGGCCG